AUCUAAUGAUAUGGGCAGUCCUGAAGAAGAGCCUUGAAUCUCUCCUAUGCAUAAUUGAGGUUCUCAUCUACCUUCUAUUUGAAGUGCACAAUCUCACCACGUAGUCU
rfam:Capsicum annuum cultivar Zunla-1 chromosome 5, whole genome shotgun sequence